UCCCUGGUGGCUAAGAUGGUAAAGCACCUGCCUAUAAUGCUGGAGACCCUGGUUCAGUCCCUGGAUUGGGAA
rfam:Ovis aries breed Texel chromosome 3, whole genome shotgun sequence.